rnacentral:rRNA from 1 species
AUGAAGGUCAAUGGAAGGAUGGUGGAAAGAUACUGGCAAUCCACUAUGGACGACAUGUAUGAAAAAAGACUGAAGGAUGUUUUAUGUCCGUGUCAAAAAUGCAAAGGAAUAGUCAGGCUCGACCCCUUUGAGGGUGGCACAUUCAAGGCACACCUGCUCAUGCAUGACCAUACUCGGUGGAUAAGUGAAGAUGAUGAUGAUGAGGAUGUCGACGGGGUAGGAAAUAACGACAUGGGGCCACCAGACGAAGAGAUGCCCGAUUAUGUGCCCGAAGAGGAAGACAACCUCGGAAAUGUCGAUGGCGAAGAGGCAGUUCAAGGCGGAGAAGACGCGGACACGCCACCGUCUUCGUCGCUACUAAGUUCAGCCAUGCGGGACCCUCAUUUUCGAGACCUGCUUCGCAAGAAGACGACUGGCGACAGAGCUGCUUCUAGAGAGGAGGCCAAACUGGCGCAACUGGAGGUAGACUCGAUGACUCCUUUGUAUGAUGGUUGCGAUCCCGAAGUGACCCGCUUGAGUUUCACACUAGAACUUCUAAAGACGAAGGCAAAAAACAAAUGGACAGAUACAAGCCUGGAUGAGCUUCUGAAGUAUCUAAAGAAGGUUCUUCCCGCGGGAAGCCUGUGUCCUACUAGUGUCGAGGAGGCAAACAAAAUCGUGUGCCCUCUUGAUCUGCCACACAUUAGAUAUCACACAUGCAUCAAUGAUUGCAUCAUAUAUCGGAACGAGCACGCGGAAAAAACCAUCUGUCCAAAGUGCAAUGUUUCACAAUAUAAAAAGGCUGGAAAGAAAGCUCCAUAG